CAGUCGCCGCGGUAAUACAGAGGGUGCGAGCGUUAAUUGGAUUUACUGGGCGUAAAGCGUGCGUAGGCGGCUAAUUGAGUCGGAUGUGAAAUCCCCGAGCUUAACUUGGGAAUUGCAUUCGAUACUGGUUAGCUAGAGUGUGGGAGAGGAUGGUAGAAUUCCAGGUGUAGCGGUGAAAUGCGUAGAGAUCUGGAGGAAUACCGAUGGCGAAGGCAGCCAUCUGGCCUAACACUGACGCUGAGGUACGAAAGCAUGGGGAGCAAACAGGAUUAGAGACCCCUGUAGUCCCUGUCUCUUAUAC
rnacentral:rRNA from 1 species